GGGGAGGAGCGUUGCGGGCCGCGGCAUCGCGCAACGUGAUGACGACCUUUCGCAGCGCCGUCAGUCUGCCUUCACGGAUCUUCAGCGGAAGGAUCCAUUUCCGGGCGGUGAGGCACCCAGUGGUCGGACUCGGGCAAGGAAUCUUUGAAAUGUGAGUAGAUAUUUUAUGUCUGGGACUGAAUUAAUUAAAGGGGGGGGGGGUGAAUUAAUUAAA